AUCCAGCUGACGAGUCUCAAAUAGGACGAAACACGCGUCAAACUGGAU
rfam:Schistosoma rodhaini strain Burundi genome assembly, scaffold: SROB_scaffold0000281